UUUAAAUUUAGAGUUUGAUCCUGGCUCAGGACGAACGCUGGCGGCGUGCUUAACACAUGCAAGUCGAGCGAUGAAGCUUCCUUCGGGAAGUGGAUUAGCGGCGGACGGGUGAGUAACACGUGGGUAACCUGCCUCAAAGUGGGGGAUAGCCUUCCGAAAGGAAGAUUAAUACCGCAUAAUAUAAGAGAAUCGCAUGAUUUUUUUAUCAAAGAUUUAUUGCUUUGAGAUGGACCCGCGGCGCAUUAGCUAGUUGGUAAGGUAACGGCUUACCAAGGCAACGAUGCGUAGCCGACCUGAGAGGGUGAUCGGCCACAUUGGAACUGAGACACGGUCCAGACUCCUACGGGAGGCAGCAGUGGGGAAUAUUGCGCAAUGGGGGAAACCCUGACGCAGCAACGCCGCGUGGGUGAUGAAGGUCUUCGGAUUGUAAAGCCCUGUUUUCUAGGACGAUAAUGACGGUACUAGAGGAGGAAGCCACGGCUAACUACGUGCCAGCAGCCGCGGUAAUACGUAGGUGGCGAGCGUUGUCCGGAUUUACUGGGCGUAAAGGGUGCGUAGGCGGAUGUUUAAGUGGGAUGUGAAAUCCCCGGGCUUAACCUGGGGGCUGCAUUCCAAACUGGAUAUCUAGAGUGCAGGAGAGGAAAGCGGAAUUCCUAGUGUAGCGGUGAAAUGCGUAGAGAUUAGGAAGAACACCAGUGGCGAAGGCGGCUUUCUGGACUGUAACUGACGCUGAGGCACGAAAGCGUGGGUAGCAAACAGGAUUAGAUACCCUGGUAGUCCACGCCGUAAACGAUGGAUACUAGGUGUAGGGGGUAUCAACUCCUCCUGUGCCGCAGUUAACACAAUAAGUAUCCCGCCUGGGGAGUACGGUCGCAAGAUUAAAACUCAAAGGAAUUGACGGGGGCCCGCACAAGCAGCGGAGCAUGUGGUUUAAUUCGAAGCAACGCGAAGAACCUUACCUGGACUUGACAUCCCUUGCAUAGCCUAGAGAUAGGUGAAGUCCUUCGGGGCAAGGAGACAGGUGGUGCAUGGUUGUCGUCAGCUCGUGUCGUGAGAUGUUAGGUUAAGUCCUGCAACGAGCGCAACCCUUGUUAUUAGUUGCUACCAUUAAGUUGAGCACUCUAAUGAGACUGCCUGGGUAACCAGGAGGAAGGUGGGGAUGACGUCAAAUCAUCAUGCCCCUUAUGUCCAGGGCUACACACGUGCUACAAUGGUAGGUACAAUAAGACGCAAGACCGUGAGGUGGAGCAAAACUUAUAAAACCUAUCUCAGUUCGGAUUGUAGGCUGCAACUCGCCUACAUGAAGCUGGAGUUGCUAGUAAUCGCGAAUCAGAAUGUCGCGGUGAAUACGUUCCCGGGCCUUGUACACACCGCCCGUCACACCAUGAGAGCUGGUAACACCCGAAGUCCGUGAGGUAACCGUAAGGAACCAGCGGCCGAAGGUGGGAUUAGUGAUUGGGGUGAAGUCGUAACAAGGUAGCCGUAGGAGAACCUGCGGCUGGAUCACCUCCUUUCUA
rnacentral:rRNA from 1 species